rnacentral:rRNA from 1 species
GAGUCGAGUUAUUUGGGACUAUAGCUCUAAUAGUUUGGUUGGUGGUAAUGACACAUCAAAGGCUAAAUAUUGGUUAGUCGAUGCAUUUUACGGAGACCGAUAGCAUACAAGUACCGUAAGGGAACGAUGAAAAGCACCCUAUUAAGUUCACGGUGUCGGCCGCGUACAAUUCGUUGUACAACGCCGCGCCCAACAACUACAGUGGGAGUGAAAGAGAGAGUGAAAUCGCCUAUACAUAUAAUAUACUACGCGGCGUAUACACACACACAUAUACCCCCCUCGUAUUAUAAGUCUGCGUUAGUACAAUCGGACAGAGUGUCGUAUUAUAGCCGCCUAAUAUACAGUUUCUAAUUGUAUAUUAUGGCUCGGCUCAUAGCGCGCUUCGGCCGCUAUACGCGACACAACUUGUACGACCCGUUUUGAAACACGGGACCAAGGAGUUCAACUGGAUUACGAGUCGUCGAGUGUAUUUAUUUAUACUCACACGGCAAAGCGAAAGCAAUCUUAAUCCUGUGCUAGGUUGGCGCCUUUGUGCGCUAACCGCAGCACGCGCUGAGUAAGUAUACGCGUGAAACCUUUCAAGGUGACGCGCGUACCUUAGAGAGUCAAAUCGCUAAGGAUUACUCAAGCGUUCAACGAGUAUAUCUUGUUGAGACCCGAAAGAUGGUGAACUAUGCUCGGAUAUGGCGAAGUCAGGUGAAAACUUGAUGGAAGCUUGCGUUGUGCGGAACUGACGUGCAAAUCGUUACCGCCUAACCUGAGUAUAGGGGCGAAAGACUCAUCGAACCAUCUAGUAGCUGGUUCCCUCCGAAGUUUCCCUCAGGAUAGC